rnacentral:rRNA from 1 species
ACGUUAGCGGCGGACGGGUGAGUAACACUGGGGUAACCUACCUAUAAGACUGGGAUAACUUCGGGAAACCGGAGCUAAUACCGGAUAAUAUUUCGAACCGCAUGGUUCGAUAGUGAAAGAUGGUUUUGCUAUCACUUAUAGAUGGACCCGCGCCGUAUUAGCUAGUUGGUAAGGUAACGGCUUACCAAGGCGACGAUACGUAGCCGACCUGAGAGGGUGAUCGGCCACACUGGAACUGAGACACGGUCCAGCUCCUACGGGAGGCAGCAGGC